ACCACGGAGAAAAAGCUUCACACAUUUGACCACAUAAACUUCUAUAUUGCAAGACACUAUAAAUAUACUUGAAAGAUAAACAGUAAAUAAGAAAAACUGUGCAACAUAUUUAUAAAGGGUUAAUAUCCAUAAUAUAAAGAUCUUAUAAAAUAAAGUCUACACAGUAUAUAAAUGAGCAAAAGACAAAAAAAGGUAAUUUUAUGUUAACAAUUAUGUUAACAUAAAACUUAACAAUUAUGUUUAAAAAGUUAACAUAGUUAACAAUUAUGUUUAAAAAGAUGCUCAGCUGAAUAAAAUCAAAGGAAUGAAAAUUAAGACAAGAUGUUUUUCAUUUGCCAAAUUAUCAAGGGUUAAAACUGUGCUAUUGCACAGCACAACGUAGCACAGUGCAAUAGAAAUUUCUGAAAUGAUAGAAAUAGUUUGUAUAUGUUGCCUACUAUGGUAACCACUGGCCACGGGUAGUUAUUGUGCAACCUGAAGUAUGACUAAUGAGACUGAGAAACUAAUUUUUAAAUUGUAUUUUAAUUGUAAUUAGUUUAAAUAGUCACACAUUGGCACUGCCUCCAUUUUGAACAGCACAGCUAUAGAUAAUAAAUGGUGUUUUUGAGGGCCGUAUUAGUCCAUUCUCAUGCUGCUAUGAAGAAAUUUCUGAGACUGGGUAAUUAAUAAACAAAAGAAGUUUAAUUGACUCACAGUCCCGCAUGGCUGGAGAGGCCUCAGGAAACGUACAAUCAUGGCGGGAGGCACCCCUUCACAUUCACAGGGCGGCAGGAGAGAGAAAAAGUACUGAGUGAAGGGGAUAGCCCCCUUAUAAAACCAUGAGAUCUCGUGAGAACUCAUUCACUAUCACGAGAACAGCAUGGCGGCAACUGCCUCCGUGAUUCAAUUAUCUCCAUCUGGUGCUGCCCUUGACAUGUGGGGAUUAUUACAAUUCAAGACAUAAAAAUCUUUUUCAGUAAAAACCUGACCUAGAACAUGCUGAAUCCCUUCUACCUUGGCAGUGAACGCCUUGAGACAGAAAACAAAACUGUGGCUAAAGAAAUUCAAUCAUUCUUCCCAGAGUGAAGCAGAAGAUGUUUCACAGACAGCAUGUGUCCUCAGAGCAAAUCUCGUUACAGCCUAGUAUAUGCCUAGAUCUGGAAAAUAACAAGAUGAAAAAAGAGAACCUGAAAGACAGAACUUUGACCGCUUGCAGAAGGAGAAACAGAAUUCUCUACAAAUUGCAUUAAAUUAUUAUGUAAGGAAACAAACAUUCCAAUGCAGACCAGUCAAUUAAGAGACAAUAUUGCCAGACAAAUUCAGCCAAGGUUUCCACCCAUUUUCAGAGAGGAAAGACCAUCUAACUAACGUAUUCAUUCUAUGUAUUUGUGGGCUAUAUGAUCAUAUUAAAUUAACAGGUAAUUAACAGUACAUAUUUCUCACUUCAUUGUACAGGUUCAGUUAUUCUUAGCUAAUCCUUUUUAUGGGCUAUAAUACAUUCCCAAGUAAAAUAUCUAUGUCAAAUAAACAUCUGAAAGAAGUAGAAGUUAUUUUAUU
rnacentral:lncRNA from 1 species